GCGAUCGUCGUUCUAACCAUGCACGUGUCCCCACGAGAUUUUUUUACCUUUUUCUUUUCUUUUCCGCGUGAGUGCUGAUAUUCUCCCUCAAUCAACCCUCAAGAUUUAGAACACCGUCUUCCAUUUUUCGCAUCUCUUUGUGUUUUAUCGUCUCGGGAAACAAAAUGAGUGGCAAGUCAAGUCGCACUUUAUAUGUUGGCAAUCUUCCUGGCGAUAUUCGCUUGAGAGAAGUAGAGGAUCUUUUCUACAAGUAUGGUCCUAUCGUUGACAUUGAUUUGAAGAUCCCUCCCAAACCACCAGGUUAUGCUUUUGUUGAGUUUGAGGAUGCUCGUGAUGCUCAGGAUGCAAUUUACUACAGAGAUGGUUAUGAUUUUGAUGGUUAUCGAUUACGGGUUGAACUUGCACAUGGUGGACGGUCAAGUUCAUCGUCAGUAGAUCGAUAUAGUAGGCAUAGCGGUAGAAGUGGUAGCUAUGGAGUUUCCAGGCGAUCUGACUAUCGUGUUCUGGUGACUGGAUUACCUCCUUCUGCUUCAUGGCAAGACCUGAAAGAUCACAUGCGUAAAGCUGGUGAUGUGUGUUUUUCUCAAGUAUUCCGGGAGCGUGGAGGCUUGACUGGGAUAGUGGAUUAUACCAAUUAUGAUGAUGUGAAAUAUGCUAUCAGGAAACUUGAUGACUCUGAAUUUCGAAAUGCAUUUUCUCGGGCAUACAUACGAGUGAGGGAAUAUGAUCGGAGUUAUUCUAGAAGCCCUAGUCGUGAUUCAAGGAGGAGCUAUUCUCGAAGCCGCAGCCCAUAUGCAUCACGAAGUCGAAGCCGCAGUCUAAGUCAUAGCUACAGUGGCAGGAGCAGAAGUUUGUCUCCAAAAGCAAGACACGCUCGUCGCUCAUUAUCUCUCUCAAGUUGUAGCCUUUUGCGGCGACCUGGGAACUGCAUGUUAGGAUCUUGAUGGCAUGUGGUGCUCAAACGCCUGCAACUUUGUGGUAUGAGGUAAUGAUGUUUUGUUGAUGAGCACCUCUGGAACACCUUAAUAUUGUGACUGACAAUAAAACUAAUGUUGUAUUGAUUAAAGACAUGGUGACACAGUCUUCCAUUGUUGUAGACUUGAUGACAGUAGAUGGAUGAGUUGCAAUCUAAAAGCUGGAUCACUGUGAACAUAAUACUAUUGGUAACAACAAUUGCAAAUCUGCAGUGAUACAGUUCAAAACCUACGAAUAACCUAUGCUCUAACUUCUGGGUUGAGGUUAUCUUUCUCUUUAGGAUUUCUUUUGUUGUCCUAUAUUGAGUUGGUUAUAUUAUCUCUUACCAACAAUUGGAUCUAGGUAUCAUGUACCGUUCGCAAUAGAUUUUUAAAACUUAAGCAUGACACAUAGUUCAAUUACUUCCCCCCUCGACUCUGCUCAUCUGGUAGAUUGAUUUCAUCCUUUUGGUGUCACCAACUUUGAUGUGGAAUUUGUAUUCGUGGAGCAAGUCAUCAAACUUUUGAUAUCACAUUCUGGAUAUUAAAUUGAGUUUUGUUCGUUUGAAUAUUUGCAGAUCCCAUACAAGAUCCAGAUCCCCGAGCUCGUCUCCUAGACGUUACCAGAGUCGCAGUCCUAGCCAAAGUUCAAGGAGCAUGUAACAAUCUCGUUUGGCUUAUAAGUGAGAUCUGAAUGUGUCAAUGUGUUUAAUCUGGGGAGACCACUACUGGAUAUGCAUUUUCAUUCCGGGCUAAGGUCCAAUAUAUUAUAGCUCUAUUAUUACAGCCCAUUCUAGUAUUGUAUUUGAAUCUUAAAUUUGACAGGUGAGAGACUGUGAAACAAACCUUUUGUGCAUUUAAAUUUGAAGUGGGUGAUUAGAACAGACUGGAAUGAUAUUGUAUUAACCUGUGCAUUUAGUAGUUUAAACCUGUGAUAUUGUAUUGGCUACUUAUCUUCUGGUAGUAUUCAUGCUCGAUUUUUACGA